UUCUCAGGGGAAUGGCUCAGGAAGGAAAAGGCAGAGUCUGCCUCCAGCUGAACCCUUUGAGAUUGGCCAGAUUCAACGUGUUACAAACAAACAUAUUCCACCUGUUACAACAAUCUGGCAUAUUACUUCCAUGAUACGUGAUGAUACAAUACCUCUCAGGUUUGCUGAGUAGCAAAGAGAAAUUUACAAGCAGCAGCAUCUGGGGAGUGAACAUCCUCUCUCUGCCACAGGAAUAGUGACUUCUGCCUGGAUGGACAACUGCUUAAAUUGCCUCAGCAUGAAUCAUCAGA